GUGACUGAAGCUCAUAUUUGUAAAUACCUAUAUGCCUAGAAAGGACUCCAAAACAGAUUCUUAAAGUUUAACCAGUAUAAUCCUGAAUAUGGACAAAAAGUAUACACUUGGAACACACACAAAAACAGAUGAGUCCAUGCCAAGCUAAAGAUUAAUGCAGAUGGCAAAAGAGAACUGGAGAAAAAUGAAUUGAUGUUAACACACUCUACAUUAAAUUUGGUUUAAAUCUAAAUAUGUCUUUUGUUGUGAUUGCUUCAAGAGCAAUUAAGGAUCAGGAAAUUUAAAGUGAAGGAUAACCAGAAAGUGGAUCAUUCAACAGAUGAAAAGAAAAUAUGCCUUUGAGGAAAAUUAUGUCAAAUGCAUGAAUUGAAUAUUUAAAUUUCACGUAAUUUUUGUUUCACCAACGUUUACAAUAUGUGAAAAAAAAUGUUCAAAACAUGUGUUUAACCAUGGUUUGACACAUUUUUGUAUGGUAUUCAUACAUUUACUAUAUGAGCAGUGCAAAUAAUAAACCCAUUAAACAUGUUAUGAAAAACAUAUGUUACACACACGUUGCACGUACGU